rnacentral:misc_RNA from 1 species
CGCACAUGGCGCCUUCCAGUAUCCUGGGAGGCAUGCCUGUCCGAGCGUCGUUUCAACCCUCGAGCCCUCGUGGCCCGGCGUUGGGGAUCUGCCACGGCAGGCCCCGAAAUACAGUGGCGGACCCGUUAGGCCCUUCCUUUGCGUAGUAGCAUUAGCCUCGCAUUGGGAGCCGGCGGGCUCUCCUGCCUCUAAACCCCCCAACAAGCCCGCUCCGGCGGCACCAAGGUUGACCUCGGAUCAGGUAGGAAUACCCGCUGAACUUAA